GAGGACCCUGUGCACUGUGGAACGCACCACCCGGAGUGGUGUGCUUGCUGCGGCUACCCGCUCACAGCGAACUCGCUCAAGGUGGAAGCAGGGCUUCGGUUCCAAGGCACAAUGGUCACCAUGCUGGGAAAACUGGAGGAGGUGAAGAGGGCCUUCUGCGGAGACGACCCAACAACAUUUUUGAACAUUGAAGACCACCCCCGUCCUCGAUUGGCCAGAAGUUCUCUCAUCACCACGGACAAGCGUACCCCAGACGAAAGAGUUCCAGGACCCAAGAUUUUCUUCGGUUCGGAAAAACAGAUCGUUCCUGAGAAUCAAUCAGUGAAACU